UACGUAGGGCGCAAGCGUUGUCCGGAAUUAUUGGGCGUAAAGAGCUCGUAGGCGGUUUGUCGCGUCUGCUGUGAAAACCUAAGGCUCAACCUUGGGCUUGCAGUGGGUACGGGCAGACUGGAGUACUGCAGGGGAGACUGGAAUUCCUGGUGUAGCGGUGGAAUGCGCAGAUAUCGAGGAGGAACACCGGUGGCGAAGGGCGGGGUCU
rnacentral:rRNA from 1 species